rnacentral:lncRNA from 1 species
CAGGGAGAACUCAAACCUCUGUCAGCCCCAGAACACCAGUGGGGUUGGCUGGAGACCCCAGAUAAAAGGACCCUCAUUGGGCAGGACCUCAAGAACUAUGUGCCAGGGAGAAUUCAAAUCUGUCAGCCUGAGAACACCAGGGGCGGGUGGCUGGAGGCCUGAGUUGAAAGGACCCUCACUGGGCAGGAACUGGAGACCUCCAUGCCAGGAAGAAUUCAAACCUCUGUCAGCAUGAGAACACAGGUGGGGGUGGCCAGAGGUCCCAGUUAGGAGAGCCCUAACUGGGUGGGACCUCAAGAACUCCAUGCCUGGGAGAAUUCAAAUCUCUGUCAGCCCCAGAACACUGGCGGAGGUGGCUG